rnacentral:rRNA from 1 species
CUACGUGCCAGCAGCCGCGGUAAUACGUAGGGCGCGAGCGUUGUCCGGAAUUAUUGGGCGUAAAGAGCUUGUAGGCGGUUUGUCGCGUCUGCUGUGAAAGGCCGGAGCUUAACUCCGUGUAUUGCAGUGGGUACGGGCAGACUAGAGUGCAGUAGGGGAGACUGGAAUUCCUGGUGUAGCGGUGAAAUGCGUAGAGAUCUGGAGGAAUACCGGUGGCGAAGGCGGCCCCCUGGACAAAGACUGACGCUCAGGUGCGAAAGCGUGGGGAGCAAACAGGAUUAGAUACCCUGGUAGUCCACGCCGUAAACGAUGUCGACUUGGAGGUUGUGCCCUUGAGGCGUGGCUUCCGGAGCUAACGCGUUAAGUCGACCGCCUGGGGAGUACGGCCGCAAGGUUAAAACUCAAAUGAAUUGACGGGGGCCCGCACAAGCGGUGGAGCAUGUGGUUUAAUUCGAUGCAACGCGAAGAACCUUACCUACUCUUGACAUCCAGA